UACGGUCACAGUGACUGGAAUGUCUUGUGCUGAAAGCGAAUCCACGACCGCUCACGAAAACGGACUCUACGCGACAGUGUUGCCGGUCAGUUGUUUAAUAUACCGUUCGUCACUGAAAAAUACCAGUUUUGUAUAACGAAAUAUACCAAAAGAAUAUCCCAAACGAUUACGGUCACAGUGACUGGAAUGUCUUGCUGCACAGCCGAAGCGCACUUAUAACUCUGGGAUUCCCUAUUUUCAAACUUACCCAACUCGACGAAAAAGUGAUGAGCUUGCACUCCAAGACUCCAAUAAACCGGCACUCAAGAACUUUUUAUGCUUUUCGUGGUUUUCUACGAAAUAUAAACAACACUUGAAGAGAACCGCCAGCGAACGAGUACGACAGCUGCAUGCGCCCUGGCAUUCGAGUACCUAAUGAAGCGGCCAAGCAAAAAUCGGGGCCUGACAGACCCUAAAACCCAAACGUCACUUUCCCCGCCUACUGGGGUUCCCAACCAAAAAAGACUACCAUCCAAAAUCUCAGAAACGGGCACUUUUCGAAACAUUUAUUUGGGCAUUAUAUACUUCAAUUUCAUUAAACACAUAUUUCGGUCGGGUUUAGCUUGAGAUUUUCUUUAGCGUUCAACUCAAUUUUGA